GCAAGUUUCAAAUUAUGAAAUAACAGCAAUACUCUGGCCAAAAUCGUGGGCUUGGUUGAUUAUUAGUAGGGAGUGAUUGUGUUCAUCAGGCCUUCUUAGGAUUAAUGCAAGUUUUAAGAAAAUUGAUUAGUGAUAUGUCUUAACCGUAUUUCCAAGUUGACAUGAAUUUGGCUGAUUUUAUUUGAUUCAUCUACUAAAAAGUAGCCUACUAGAAGGCUACAAAUUUAAAGUAGAUGGUUUGUUUGUUUUUGGACACUGUAGCACAGACUGACCUUGCCUCUGGGAACCACAAGUGUGUAUGUGCCACCACACAUACUGCUUCAGUUUCCUUACUAUUAAUUAGGUAUGCUCUUAAAAUCACAGGCUUCUGGAUUUUUCCUCCAUAGCUAAAAACAGAUUGUUGCAAAAUAUAAUUUUGUGAAGGAUUUGGCUUCAUAUCUUUUCUAGGCUAAAACUACAAAGAAGAUUGUGCUGAGACUGGAGUGCGUUGAGCCCAACUGCAGAUCUAAGAGGAUGCUGGCUAUUAAGAGAUGCAAGCAUUUUGAACUAGGAGGUGACAAGAAGAGAAAGGGCCAAGUGAUCCAGUUCUAAGCUGAUUUUGUUAUGAAGACAAUAAAAUCUUGACCUUUC
rnacentral:lncRNA from 1 species